GACGAACCGUGCGAACGUUGUUCGGAUUCACUGGGCUUAAAGGGCGCGUAGGCGGCCCGUUUAGUCAGAUGUGAAAGCCCCGGGCUCAACCUGGGAACUGCAUUUGAUACUGGCGGGCUUGAGUUCCGGAGAGGAUGGUGGAAUUCCCAGUGUAGAGGUGAAAUUCGUAGAUAUUCGGAAGAACACCAGUGGCGAAGGCGACUUACUGGACACAUAUUGACGCUGAGGUGCGAAAGCGUGGGGAGCAAACAGG
rnacentral:rRNA from 1 species